rnacentral:rRNA from 1 species
AGAACGAACGCUGGCGGCAUGCCUAACACAUGCAAGUCGAACGAGACCUUCGGGUCUAGUGGCGCACGGGUGCGUAACGCGUGGGAAUCUGCCCUUGGGUUCGGAAUAACAGUUAGAAAUGACUGCUAAUACCGGAUGAUGACGAAAGUCCAAAGAUUUAUCGCCCAGGGAUGAGCCCGCGUAGGAUUAGCUAGUUGGUGAGGUAAAGGCUCACCAAGGCGACGAUCCUUAGCUGGUCUGAGAGGAUGAUCAGCCACACUGGGACUGAGACACGGCCCAGACUCCUACGGGAGGCAGCAGUGGGGAAUAGUUGGACAAUGGGACGAAAGCCUGAUCCAGCAAGUGACCGCGUGAGUGAUGAAGGCCGUUAGGGUUGUAAAGUCUCGUUUUACCCGGGAUGAUAAUGAACGAGUACCGGAGUAAGUAAGCUACCGGCUAACUCCGCGCCAGCCACGCCGGAC